CAAGACCUUGCGCUUUUGGAGCGGCCGAUGUCUGACUAGCUAGUUGGUGAGGUAAAGGCUUACCAAGGCUUCGAUCAGUAGCUGGUCUGAGAGGACGACCAGCCACACUGGGACUGAGACACGGCCCAGACUCCUACGGGAGGCAGCAGUGGGGAAUUUUGGACAAUGGGGGAAACCCUGAUCCAGCCAUGCCGCGUGAGUGGAGAAGGCCUUCGGGUUGUAAAGCUCUUUCAGCCGGAACGAAAAGGUCACGGCUAAUACCCGUGACAAAUGACGGUACCGGAAGAAGAAGCACCGGCUAACUACGUGCCAGCAGCCGCGGUAAUACGUAGGGUGCAAGCGUUAAUCGGAAUUACUGGGCGUAAAGCGUGCGCAGGCGGUUUUGUAAGUCAGAUGUGAAAUCCCCGGGCUUAACCUGGGAACU
rnacentral:rRNA from 1 species